UGGACGGGAAUAACCUCGGGAAACUGAGUAUAAUGCCCGAUAGAACACUAUACCUGGAAUGGUUUGUGUUCCAAAUGAAUGUCGCCGUAGGAUGGGACUGCGGCCUAUCAGUUUGUUGGUGAGGUAAUGGCCCACCAAGACUAUUACAGGUACGGGCUCUGAGAGGAGUAGCCCGGAGAUGGGUACUGAGACACGGACCCAGGCCCUAUGGGGCGCAGCAGGCGAGAAAACUUUGCAAUGUGCGAAAGCACGACAAGGUUAAUCCGAGUGGUUUGUGCUAAACGAACCUUUUGACAGUCCUAGAAACACUGUUGAAUAAGGGGUGGGCAAGUUCUGGUGUCAGCCGCCGCGGUAAAACCAGCACCUCAAGUGGUCAGGAUGAUUAUUGGGCCUAAAGCAUCCGUAGCCGGCUCUGUAAGUUUUCGGUUAAAUCUGUACGCUCAACGUACAGGCUGCCGGGAAUACUGCAGAGCUAGGGAGUGGGAGAGGUAGACGGUACUCGGUAGGAAGGGGUAAAAUCCUUUGAUCUAUUGAUGACCACCUGUGGCGAAGGCGGUCUACCAGAACACGUCCGACGGUGAGGGAUGAAAGCUGGGGGAGCAAACCGGAUUAGAUACCCGGGUAGUCCCAGCUGUAAACUAUGCAAACUCAGUGAUGCAUUGGCUUGUGGCCAAUGCAGUGCUGCAGGGAAGCCGUUAAGUUUGCCGCCUGGGAAGUACGUACGCAAGUAUGAAACUUAAAGGAAUUGGCGGGGGAGCACCACAAGGGGUGAAGCCUGCGGUUC
rnacentral:rRNA from 1 species